UCGAGCGAGAAAGGGGAGCAAUCCCUGAGUACAGCGGCGUACGGGUGAGUAACACGUGGGUGAUCUACCUUCUAGUGGGGGAUAACCCUGGGAAACCGGGGCUAAUACCGCAUAAGCCUGUGAAGGGAAAGCAGCAAUGCGCUGGAAGAGGAGCCCGCGGCCGAUUAGCUAGUUGGUGAGGUAACGGCCCACCAAGGCGAUGAUCGGUAGCCGGCCUGAGAGGGCACACGGCCACACUGGCACUGAAACACGGGCCAGACUCCUACGGGAGGCAGCAGUGGGGAAUCUUGCACAAUGGAGGCAACUCUGAUGCAGCGACGCCGCGUGAGCGAUGAAGCCCUUCGGGGUGUAAAGCUCUUUCGGCAGGGACGAUAAUGACGGUACCUGAAGAAGAAGCUGCGGCUAACUACGUGCCAGCAGCCGCGGUAAUACGUAGGCAGCGAGCGUUGUUCGGAAUUACUGGGCG
rnacentral:rRNA from 1 species